AGAGUUUGAUCCUGGCUCAGGAUGAACGCUGGCGGCGUGCUUAACACAUGCAAGUCGAACGAUGAAGCCGGAGCUUGCUCUGGUGGAUUAGUGGCGAACGGGUGAGUAACACGUGAGUAACCUGCCCUUGACUCUGGGAUAAGCGUUGGAAACGACGUCUAAUACCGGAUACGACGCGCGAAGGCAUCUUCUGCGCGUGGAAAGAAUUUCGGUCAAGGAUGGACUCGCGGCCUAUCAGCUAGUUGGUGAGGUAACGGCCCACCAAGGCGACGACGGGUAGCCGGCCUGAGAGGGUGACCGGCCACACUGGGACUGAGACACGGCCCAGACUCCUACGGGAGGCAGCAGUGGGGAAUAUUGCACAAUGGGCGCAAGCCUGAUGCAGCAACGCCGCGUGAGGGACGACGGCCUUCGGGUUGUAAACCUCUUUUAGUAGGGAAGAAGCGAAAGUGACGGUACCUGCAGAAAAAGCACCGGCUAACUACGUGCCAGCAGCCGCGGUAAUAC
rnacentral:rRNA from 1 species